CCUGAGCCGAAGUCAGACGCUCAGCCGACUGAGCCACCCAGGUGCCCCGAUUUUUCAACAAAUAUCUAUUGAGCGCCUGCUGUGUGCCGAGUGCCAGGGGCAUGGCAGUGACUAGGGUGGAUGGCAUGCCUGCCCUUGUAAAGCUGGCAUUCUGGCGAGAGAGAGACAGACAAACGUACACAUAAGUAGUUACUUCCAGACACGGAUACAGGCUAUGAAGACAUCGGCAGAGGGGGGCAGUGGGGCGUGAUGGGAGAAACCCCCUGGCAGGGGCUGGGGGGCGGGCAGCUCUGGGAGGAGGGGGCAUCUAUUGAGACCAAUGAGACCCAGCGACCAAGGGAAAAUAUGGGGGAACCUUUGCAACAGCAGAGGUCUGGAGGUGGGCAUCAGGUUGACUUACUUUAGGAGCAGGAAGAUGCUUGUGUUUCUGGGGAGGUGAGUGACAGCGAAGAAAGAGAGGGCAUUGGAGGGGACAGGCACCAGACGGCCAGGGCUGGAGGUCAGGGACGGGCGUGCGGAUUUUAUCCUGAAUGUGAUGGGCAGUCAGUGGGGCGUCGAAUCAGUGACUUGGUUGGGGUUACAUUUUCGGCCCCUCCAACUGCUGCGUGGAAAGGUUAUUAUGUAGGGGACAAGGGUGAAGCAGGAGGACCAGGUUGGGAGGAGCUGUGGGUGUCCAGGCGAGCGGCGAUGGUGGCUUGGACCAGGGUGGGGGCAGUGAAUACAGAGAUGGGUGGCCAGGGCUGGCGGGAGGCCCGGGGCUCUGCAUUUGGUUUCAUUUUUCCUUUUACACAGUCCACCCGUGGGGCUCUGGGUCACUGGAGUUUCCCUGGCACCACGGCCUGUCUCCUGGAGAAAGGCCUGUAUCUGGCCUUUCCUCCUCCUGGCCCUGGACCCGGCGCCUUCUCAGUUACUCUGUGACUGUCCCCCUCCUCCCACCCUCAACCAAGCCCAGGCUUUGCCUGUGGUCCCCCAGUAUGCUGCUCCCGCCCUGCGGGCUGUCCAUAAACCACUCGGCAACCCCUCUGGGGAGAUGAUCAGGCGUAUCCCCAAGGAGGGGGCCCUGAGAGUCUGGGCCAGCAGGGGCAGAUUUGUUUCGGGGUCCCUGAUUAUAGGGAACUAUCCAGAGGUAGCUUGCUGGAGGGCGGCCUCUUUCUUGGGGCGGUGUUCCUCCCAUCCAGCCUGUUGCUGGGAUGGAGCUGGGGGACAUUCCCUGCUUACUUCCUGGGGUCUCAGGUGCUCGCUUCGACGGCGGCUGGAGAGCUGUGCUGAGCAGAGGCCGCCCUGGCUCCUCCAAGGGAGAAUCGGCCCGGAGUCCCACUGGCCUCACCUCCGUGGUCUCCAACGUGCAGUAGGUCCUCAGGGCUGUGCUCCCUCAUCGUGUCCCUAAGCCUUCAAAUGUAAUAGAUGCUGUUUGAAAACACCCUAUGGCUUGGGUUUCUUCAUCAGCGACAUGGGCGUGAUGGUGACAUGUGGGGGCAGGGAGACUUGGAGGAGAGGUUUCCCUGUUCUCCAGCAGAAACUGGAAACGGAGGUCCUGAGCUGCGUCGUCCCAAGUCGCGCGGCUGGGAGAUGGCGGAGGUGGGAUUUGAACGCAGGGCCCCUGAAUCAGGGACAGCGGGAGGAAGAGUUGGGCCGGGGUGCGGAAGGUGCUGCCUGGAUCGCCCUGUGACCCCGGGCUCCACUUCUCCUUUCUGCGCAGUGUAGUCAGCACACAGGAAGCUGGCUGGGGCCUCCCUUGCCCAUCCUGUCUGCAGCGGGUGGACACGGGGUCCUGGCGUCACCCACCACCGCCCGGGGCCUCCCCCUUCCUGUCUUGUGCAAGACGAGGCGUCCCCUGCGUGGAAUGGGCAGGCGGCUUUGGCGGAUGGGUGGACGGGUGAGGAAACUGAGGCCUUGAGAAGUGGAGGGACCAGCACGUAGUCACACAGCUCAGCCGCUUCCUGCUGGUCAUUGUCUGUGACCCAGGGCCAGCACCGUUCUGGAAGCCGGGUGGCCCGGAAGGGAAGUUCGUUCAGCCACCCUCCUGCUGAGCCGCUCCUGGCGUGUGGUCCUCAGUUUUCCCAUCUGUACCAGCUCUGCUGUCUCAGGCUUCUGUUUUGGGGUCAGAAGGUCUGGGCCAGUGCAGGGCAGGCGGCGUGGGGGGAAGCGACAGGGACGGAAGCCACCUCUGGGAUGGCCGGGGUGCCAGGUGCUCUCAGGGCCCACCCGGAAGGUACUCUGGCUGCAGGAUGUGGGGCAGAAGUGAGAGACCCUUGUCAGCAGAGGUGGGGAAGGGCACGGGAAUACCUUGACUUCCUCGCCUUGUGGGGGGCAGUGCUGGGCCAUAUUCUCCUUCUUCCCCCAGAGGUUCCUGGGUGCUGAGCCCACAGAGGUGGCCUGUUCACCUCCCUCCCUUGUCUCACUUCCUCACUCCCUCCUGGUGUUUCUGGGAUCACCUCCCAAAUAAAUCGCUUGCUCUCAAA